UCAAGUUAUUAAGGGUGCAGGGCGGAUGCCUUGGCACUAGGAGCCGAUGAAGGACGUGAUAAGCUGCGAUAAGCUUCGGGGAGUUGCACGUAAACUUUGAUCCGAAGAUUUCCGAAUGAGGAAACUCACUUAGAGUAAUGUCUAAGUAUCAUUAAGUGAAUACAUAGCUUAAUGAGGGGAACUCAGGGAACUGAAACAUCUAAGUACCUGAAGGAAGAGAAAGAAAUUCGAUUCCGUAAGUAGCGGCGAGCGAACGCGGAUUAGCCCAAACCAAUAAAGUUUUCUUUAUUGGGGUUGCGGACAUAUCAUAACGAAGAGGUAUCGUAAUUGAAGAGGUUUGGAAAGACCCACCACAGAAGGUAAUAGUCCUGUAUGUUAAACGAGAAGACUUCAGAUAUGAUCCAGAGUACCACGGGACACGUGAAACCCUGUGGGAAGCAGGAGGGACCACCCUCCAAGGCUAAAUACUACCUAGUGACCGAUAGCGUAUAGUACCGUGAGGGAAAGGUGAAAAGAACCCCGGGAGGGGAGUGAAAUAGAACCUGAAACCCUGCACUUACAAGCUGUGGAAGCACAUUUCUUGUGUGACCGCGUACUUUUUGUAGAACGGGCCAACGAGUUACGUUAAGUAGCAAGGUUAAGCACUUAAGGUGCGGAGCCGUAGCGAAAGCGAGUUUUAACUGAGCGUUCAGUUACUUGACGUAGACCCGAAACCGGGCGACCUACCCAUGAGCAGGAUGAAGCGAAAGUAAAAUUUCGUGGAGGUCCGAACCCACGAGCGUUGAAAAGCUCGGGGAUGACUUGUGGGUAGCGGUGAAAUUCCAAUCGAGCCCGGAGAUAGCUGGUUCUCCCCGAAAUAGCUUUAGGGCUAGCCUCAAGGUGAGAGAUACGGAGGUAGAGCACUGAAUGUCCUAGGGGGUAUUGCACCUACCGAAGACUAUCAAACUCCGAAUGCCGUCAUCUUAUACUUGGGAGUCAGACUGUGGGUGAUAAGAUUCAUAGUCGAAAGGGCAACAGCCCAGAUCGUCAGCUAAGGUCCCUAAAUGUAAGUUAAGUGGUAAAGGAUGUGGGAUUGCACAGACAACCAGGAUGUUGGCUUAGAAGCAGCCACUCAUUCAAAGAGUGCGUAAUAGCUCACUGGUCGAGUGAUCCUGCGCCGAAGAUUUCCGGGGCUAAAACUUACUACCGAAGCUACGGCAUCAGUAAUGAUGGGUAGGGGAGCUUCCCAUACGGGUUGAAGCAUGACCGUAAGGACAUGUGGACAGUAUGGGAGUGAGAAUGUUGGCAUGAGUAGCGAGAUGUGGGUGAGAAUCCCACAGGCCGUAAACCCAAGGUUUCCAGGGGAAGGUUCGUCCGCCCUGGGUUAGUCGGGACCUAAGCUGAGGCCGAAAGGCGUAGGUGAUGGACAACAGGUUGAUAUUCCUGUACUACCGAUAACCGUUUGAGAGAAGGGAUGACACAGUAGGAUAAGCUAAGCACACUGUUGGUUAUGUGUGCCCAAGCAUUGAGGCAGUCAAAGUAGGCAAAUCCGCUUUGAUAAUGCUGGGAUGUGAUGGGGAGCGAAAUUUAGUAGCGAAGUAGCUGAUUUCACACUGUCAAGAAAAGUCUCUAUCGAGGUUAAAGGUACCCGUACCGCAAACCGACACAGGUGGGUGAGGAGAGUAUCCUAAGGCCAGCGAGAGAACUGUUGUUAAGGAACUCGGCAAAAUGACCCCGUAACUUAGGGAUAAGGGGUGCCACCAUCAGGUGGCCGCAGAGAAUAGGCCCAAGCGACUGUUUACCAAAAACAUAGGUUUCUGCUAAGUCGCAAGACGAUGUAUAGGAGCUGACGCCUGCCCGGUGCUGGAAGGUUAAGGGGAUCUGUUAGAGCAAUCGAAGCAGUGAACUUAAGCCCCAGUAAACGGCGGCCGUAACUAUAACGGUCCUAAGGUAGCGAAAUUCCUUGUCGGGUAAGUUCCGACCCGCACGAAAGGCGUAACGAUUUGGGCACUGUCUCAACAACAGACUCGGUGAAAUUGUAAUUCCGGUGAAGAUGCCGGAUACCUGCGACAGGACGGAAAGACCCCAUGGAGCUUUACUGUAGCUUGACAUUGGGUCUUGGUACUACAUGUACAGGAUAGGUGGGAGGCUUUGAAACCAGGACGCCAGUUUUGGCGGAGCCAUCCUUGGGAUACCACCCUUGUAGUACUGGGACUCUAACCAUAGGCCAUGAAUCUGGUCUUGGGACACUGUCAGGCGGGCAGUUUGACUGGGGCGGUCGCCUCCCAAAAGGUAACGGAGGCGCUCAAAGGUUCUCUCAGUACGGUCGGAAAUCGUACGUAGAGUGUAAAGGCAAAAGAGAGCUUGAUUGCAAGACAUACAGGUCGAGCAAGGAUGAAAAUCGGACUUAGUGAUCCGGUGGUUCUGCGUGGAAGGGCCAUCGCUCAACGGAUAAAAGCUACCCUGGGGAUAACAGGCUUAUCUCCCCCAAGAGUCCACAUCGACGGGGAGGUUUGGCACCUCGAUGUCGGCUCAUCACAUCCUGGGGCUGUAGUAGGUCCCAAGGGUUGGGCUGUUCGCCCAUUAAAGUGGUACGCGAGCUGGGUUCAGAACGUCGUGAGACAGUUCGGUCCCUAUCCGUCGCAGGCGUAGGAAAUUUGAGAAGACCUGUCCUUAGUACGAGAGGACCGGGAUGGACGUACCUCUGGUGUACCAGUUGUCCUGCCAAGGGCAUGGCUGGGUAGCUAUGUACGGAAUGGAUAAGCGCUGAAAGCAUCUAAGCGCGAAGCCAACUUCAAGAUAAGAUUUCCCACCGCAAGGGUAAGACCCCAGAAAGACUAUCUGGUUGAUAGGUCGAAGGUGUAAGUGCAGCAAUGUAUUUAGCUUAUCGAUACUAAUAGGUCGAGGACUUGACCAA
rnacentral:rRNA from 1 species